rnacentral:lncRNA from 1 species
UGCAUUUCUCACCUCUUCACAAGACCUAACAUUAUAGUUCGAUAGAAGCGGUGAUUAUUGAUUUAAAAGCGCAAAAUAGCUUCCCCAGCAAUGGUGAAGAAGCAAAAUUCAUAAACUAACUGAAAAGUAACAAAGUACUCUGUUACAGUUAAAACAGUUGAAACUCCACUUACUUCUGAAGAAAUUUGUGUUAGUCACAUGGAAUUUGAGACAUUGGCAAGCACAAAUUCUUAUAGCUUCGGUAUUGAAUGCUCAAGAUCCGAUCACAAUGCUCUUGGCAAGGACUGAUAUCUGCAGGCUCAGGAUUUAUAGAGCAUCUAUAACCUAUGGGAUUUCAUUUCACUGUUUCGACUGACCUUUUUCUUUCCAAAUUUACUCUCGUUCAUCGUGCCAACACAUUAAUGUUAAGUCUUCCUUACUUUUUGGGUGCUAAACGGAAUUCUUGGCUUCAACGUCAAUUAGGUGCGAAAUCAUCAGAGGAGGGAUGAAAGAAUACCUGACACCAAUGGGGCCAACUCCCCUGCAUGUGAACCCAAUCUUCGAGAUAGGACCAGUGGAGCCGAGAUUUUCAGAAUGGCUAGUGUUUGAAGGGAUCAGCGUUGAUGAGAGCGGAAGGCAGCAUUUCCUUGAUGCCACUGUCGCGUACAAGCGAGCAGUACUAAAUGCCAUCCACUACCUCUCCAAAUUCGGGUACUCCAAGGAGCAGGUUUGCACAUCUCUCAUAGAAACCUAAAUCACUUCUCAGCACAUGCCUGGGUCACGGUUAAAUCUUGCAGUGGUUCCCACUUGGGUUCCACAUCAUUCAACGGCUGUGAUCAUGUGAUGCAUGGUGAAUCGGAUCAAUACAGAAUGUGAAAAAAAAAAAAAAAAAAAGGACUACCAACUGAAACCCAUUCCUCAUAUUUAAGCAAUCUUGUAUAGUCUUUCUGGCGUGACUAACAGAAUCACACGUCCUGGCAGAUGUAUCUUCUAGUAUCCUGCUGCCCAUGUGAAGGAAGGAUAUCUGGAAUUGUGGAUUCCCCUAAUGCUGUAGCAACACUUGCAAUCCCCACUGCCAUCUUUGAUCAGGUACUUCUGUCAGAAACUAAGGCUGCGUUUGUUUGUAUUUCUUUUUUUGGUUUUUAAACACUUUUUCUGUUUUUUUGUUCUUUUGUUCCCAGGAACAAAAAAGAAACAGAAACAAGAAACACAAAUUUUGUGUUUCUUGUUUCUGAAACACAAAUCAGAAACACUUUUGAAAUUUUUCUUAUUUUUCUUCUUAUUUUCUUUCUUUUUUCUUUCGCCGGUCGCCGGCCUCGGCCAUGGCCGGCGACCGGCCAAAAGAAGAAAAAAGAAAAAAGGAAAAAUAAGAAAAAAAUAGAAAAAAUAAAAGAAAUAAAAAAAUUAUACAAAUUUACCAAACGUGUUUCUAUUUAUUUUUUGUUCCCGGAACAAGUUUACCAAACGCGUUUUUUUGUUCAGAAAUUGUUCCCAGGAACAGAAACACUUUUUUCUAUUUCUGUUCCCUGGAACAAUUUUUAAACAGAAACGCAAACAAACGCACCCUAAGCUGCUCCUCAUUUUAAUGAUCAACUCAGCACAUUCUGAUAAAAGACCGCAUUCAGCUAGAAUCUACGGAUAGUUCGCUCAUAAAGUGGCUAAUGACCCAACAAGUAGAAGCUAGAUGAGACAUGCUACUCCACUGGUACAUAUUAGAUCGAUAAACUACCAAAUAACUUUGAUGGCUGGAUGUGUAUUCUUUUCCAUCUUCCACCACCUUUUUAUCCAUCAAAGUACAUUCGAUUUCCCUGUUCUUCUUUUUGCUUUAGUCAACCAUAACUAAUACCACCAUUGCACAAAGUCUAUCUUCCCUAGAGUUUUUUCUUGCCUAUCAAUCGGUUAUCAGAUCUGGAUCACUUUCAGAAGGUCCAGAUAGCAUACCGUCUAAGAAAGUCUAUUUAUUGCAGGAUAUUCGUCCGAAGAACAAGAUUCCAGUCGGGCCUCGGCUAGUCAGGAAGCCAGAUGUCCUGAAGUGCACUUAUGAUGGGAAUCUACCUAUAACAAAGAACCUUAGUGCCACUAUGUAGUCUUCGCUCAGGUGUCGUAGAUCACAAUAGUUAAGGAAAACAUAUGUGCUUGCACAUCUUCCUAUUCCACGUUUACGAAGUAUAAGUAUUGUGAAAGCAAACAAUAUGUUACUUUGGACAAUACAAUUUGGGUGGCAUUCGACACUUGAGCUUGAGACGGGAGAGAGGGAGACAGCUGAGAUGGCUGGGCAGGGGCUCAGCGACGUGACAUGACAAUCGCGGGCGGCACAAGGAGGAGAAGGGCUAAGUUGUACGCGUUGGGUUGGGUUGGUUCGGGGUUUAGGAUAGGUGGAUUAUCUUGGUAGAUAGUUUUCGAAUGGCGAGCAGAGGGGUAAACUUGGAAAAAGAUGACAAGAAAUGAAAUUGCAAAUCUGUAGAUUAGAUUAAAAUCAUAAGUGAUGUUGGAUGCAAGGAAUGAAAUUGCAAAAGCGAUUAUGGCUUUUGUAGGUUUUCAAAAAUAUGGAGGGUAUUUGAUUCGCGCAUAAAAGUUAGGAUGGCUUUGGAAAUUCUCAAAAAAAAAAUGUUAGAAUCAGUCCAAUUGCCAUGAAGAAAGGGUGGAGUAGACAUCAUUUUCCAUUAUCACUAAAGUCGGUAGGUAAAACUACAACCUCAAUGACAAAUUACCAAUAAAAAAUAGUUCCAUUAAACAAGUACAAUAAGGAGUGACCACAUCUAAUAUAAUAUAAUUAAAAGUUAAUAUCAUCCAAAACCUCAAAAUUGAUAGACUCCAAACAAAAAUUCCGGAACCGAUACAAUCUUAAAAACGUCGGCACAAAUGCCAGCAUAGUCCUAAGAUUCCGAUCUUCAGGGCUCGCUAGUGGGGAAACAAAUCAGGAUUAGACAGAAGCAUCUUUCCGUCGCAAAAGGCUAAGGUGUGGAACGAAUGUGAUCGUGGCGAGUUUCCAUCCGAUUGAUCGGAGCAAAAGGCUUGUCGUUCAGCUUUUCACAAGCACUAAAAGCUUUCUGGCAUCUCAAGAUGAACUUGCAACUAAUCAGGAGGGGGUUGCAUCAGCAUAAAUGUGUACGAUGUUGAAUCGAAUUCAGACAACCGAGUGAAUCGACUUUAGCGAUGAAGAAAUGAUGAAGCCUUGUCGAGUACAUAUCACCCGACCAUCUUGGUCUUUAGCCUAUCCUUUUCUUUGGAGAGAGAAUCAUGGAGAGCCACCAAUGUCAAAAAGUAUCAUUGAAUAGGUAUUCGAUUCGCUAAAGAUGAUGUCAUCUCUAAACCCUAAAUUUUUUUUUUCAAUUAAAAAUGGAAAAUCUUACGAGUUUUGAGAUCAAACAAUCCCUAAAAGACUGAAUGCUCAUGAUGUUUCCGGUCUAUGUUGCAGAUGAAUCGAGGACCCCACGUUUUGUGCGAUGAUUCUAAUAUCACUCGAGUAUAAGGCGACAUUUCAUAAGAUGAGAAUAAAGUGAAUGAUUUAAUGCAGAACGGGUUUCUCCAACCAUCAAUUUAUCAAUUUGUUUCUUUAUUUGAUCUAGUUAUUUUGACGUUGUCCUUGAUUAAGGAUAUAUGUUUCUACUAAAGUACCUUAUUUAGAAUUAUUUUCCUAGUGUUUUAUUAGGGUUUGCUUCUAGACAGCUUAUACUUUAUGAUUUGAUUAAUGAAUAUCGUGCAUUUGCCCUUUCUUCUUUCCCACAUGAACCGGCGUUUCUCUAUUUCUCCUCCAACUUUCGCUACUUUCUUCUCCCCUUUCUUGCUAUCCGAUUUUCUUCUCUUUCUAUAUGAUUCUAAACCUAUCUUCACCGCGCACUUCCUUUGUUCGUCAAUUGGUAUCGGAGGUAGACCGAUUUAUCAUCACAAUCCUCAGUGGCACAUUGUACUGGGCCAUCAAAAACCUACCAAUAUAUAAAAAUCAGUGUAGUGGAAGUGAAAAGCCUCAGCUCAUUGUUGUGGUGGUUGCUGUUGGCGGCAUCGUUGUCCAAUCGCAUCGUCAUGGUACGUCGUGUCUUGAUAGAGCAAGGUAGGUGGUGGAUGUUCGCUCGAUGCAGAGUGACGACAAUUGAUCUCCCAUCAUCGUUUUCCCAUCCCAAUCUCCAUCGGUAUAGAGUGGACCAUCCACUCGUAGAGAAAGAAAAAUCAAACCCUUGGAGGUGUCAAUAAUGUCCCUCAAUAUCUUCCACCUAAUUCUGCAUAUCUAAAGCACCUCUUCUUGAGUCCUUGUGCCAUCUCCUGCUUACCAAGACAUAGCCACACUUCCAUGAGGUUUUGGCUCCCCAAGUAAUCUUAUCAAUUCUUGAACUGGGAGAGAAGACAGAAAUGGCUCAACGACAUGGUCCGAGGCUGGUCAUCCCAAUAGAUGUGAAGAAGAAGCCCCACGAGCAGGCGCUCCCCCUCCACAACCGGUGGCACCCGGAGAUCCCGCCGGUCGCGGAAGUCCGGACCGGCGAGUUCUUCCGGGUGGAGAUGGUGGACUUCAGCGGCGGCGGGAUCACGCGCGAGUAUACCAUCGACGACAUCAAGCAUGCCAACAUGUCCAUCGUGAGUUCUCGGAAUUUGGCUAUUAAUUUUCCCGUUGCGUCUCUCGCUUGUUUUCUUAUCUGAUCGAAUUUACGAAGUUCAUCAUUAUAAUGAGGCCUUCAUAUGAUGAGAGAGAGUGGGGAAAUUAAGGAAAAUAGUAAGUCAUUCUACAGUUAGGAACCCCUUUAAUCUUCUUUUCUCAAGCUGAAUCCGAGUGGAUCAUUCCCAGAGAGGCAUCCCAAGUUCAGAAAACUCUUCUUCCUGUUGGGGUUUUCAGGAGAGAGCUUGGAGUGUGAAUAUACUAAUUUGACACAAUUGAGACGCUUGGAACGUUAGUUCUGCUGGAUAAUGACGAAGUGAUAGGUCCCAUUUUCGUCCUGCGAUGAUUUUUCCUUGUGGGGACCGUCAGAGCUGAAGGAGGAGUAAUACAUAACUAUGUUGAUGUGACCUAGUCGAUCUAUUAUUUAAUUCACGUAAUAUGUAUCCAGACUUUCAUAUUAAGAUUUUAAAAACUCAUAAUCUCGUCAUCAAAGCGUUUGUGAUAUUUGAAGGGUCGAUGUGACUAUGAUGACUGGCCAUUUUUUUUAAUUUUACCGUGCGUGUACAUGGCUAAUGGCACAACUAUUUUCUCUAGGAAGUUAUUUCCGAGUUCCUCUCUUUCACAUCCCAAAUCAAGGGAAAAGGAAGCCUGAGAUCAGCAUUAAACAAAAUCCUAACUUACAAUCAACGGCAAAACCCCCGUGUCGUGCAUCCUUUUUUUUUUGCAGAAAUGCAAGCCCUUCUCGCAUGAUUUCGUGAGGAAUAGCGUGAGAUCAAACCUCCAUUCACUUCGAGAAAAAUAAAUAAUUUAAAAUAUUUUCUUAAAAAUAAUUAUUUAUAUCUUUUAAAUUAAUUAAUUAAUUAAAGACAUUUUUUAUCAUAAUAUUUUUAUAUUUAAAUAUUUUCGUGAACGAUAAAAAUAGUUUUUGUUUGUUUAUUUCUAUAAACGAUGCACGUGAUCAUUUUUAGGAAAAUAUUUUUUUAAUUACUCAUUUUGUUUCAUGAAAUAAAGGAAGCCUAAAUGAAUAUGUUUUACUAUUGCCCUGUUAUUUUCCUUCCCAAAGAACUUUCUUCGUGUCUUAUCCAAUUUGAGAAUGUACUGCGACUUAGGGUUUCUAGGGUUGUCUCAAUGAUGAUUUGGGGCUGUAAAUAACUAAUGAUGGGAUUUUGGAGGGUAAUUGUGUCACUUUUAGAGCAUACGAAUUGCAUCACUUGUCACAGAUGCACCGCGACAUUAAAAAAAAUGCAACAUCGAAGUCACAAAGGAUUUUCAACAUCGAAAACCUACUCACAUAAAGUUUAGGAUUUGAGUAUUUAACGCACCUAUUAAUGGGUUGACGUUCUCUCUUGUUUGCUCCAAAUACCCAAUACAAUCAGAGAAAUCCAGCCUUCCCAGUCUCAUUAUUGAAUACCUAUCUCAAGACUAAUUUCUCAAAAAGCUCAAUACCAUGGCCAUUCUUGCAAUAUCCGCUCACAAAGUUAGGGAGAAGAAUAAUGGGAAUGCCAAAAUUACUGUACAGCACUCACUUGAGUGUCAACGCCAAUUUAUCUCACCGGAAAAUCCGACGUGACUUCACCGGCGUGGACAUGGCUUUGCAUCUACUAAUGUAAACAAUUUUUUAAUAUUUGUAAUAUUUUGUUUUUUUAAUUUUUUUAAUUUUUUCUGCUUUUUUUUUUGUUUUGCUUUUUUUUCUUUAGGGUCGGCAAGGGUUGAGCAAAAAAAAAAAAAAAACAGAAAUAUUCAAAAAAAAAAUCCAUGUAAUAUGAUUUGUCGGAAUUGGCACUCAAGCAAGCGCCGUACGAAAAUUUUGACACCACCACUGUUCUUACCCCUACAAAGUUACUAAAACAGAGAUAUAGUACUAAAUGCACCAAUAUAGUUACUGCCGAAUUGAGGAAAUUACUGCCGCGGAUACUAUCCGCUUUUCAGCACGGGUCGGACCCGUUUUGUGAAUAUACUAACUUGACCUAAUUGGGAUUCUUUGCAUUAUAUUAUUCUGUGAUGACAAAAUAAAGGUGGUCCUUUUCACCCUAUGGUGACUUUUUCCUUGGGGGGGGACCAUCUGAAAUGGGGUCACUCCAGUUUUGUCAUCUCCUGCCAAUCUUAGAGGAGUCAAACCUCCUCUAUCCCGAUGAAUCACAUACUUCAUCUGGUACAAAAAGUCUCCCCAUCAUCGCUUCUCAAAUUCUAAACUCUCUGCAACUUUUUCAUCCACACCCCCAUCAAUGGCUCCUCGGACCCCAAGACUAGUAGUGCCAAUAGACCUGAAAAAGAAGCCAUGGGACCAAAAACUGCCUCUCCACAACCGCUGGCACCCCGAGAUACCUGCGGUCGCAGCGGUUACGAGCGGCGAGUUCUUUAGGAUAGAGAUGGUGGACUGGACUGGAGGGGCUAUAAAAGAUGAUGACUCCGCACUCGACGUGAAAUCUGUAGAUCUCUCAACAGUAAGUGCCAGCCACUCCUAAGAAAGCUAAAGAACAGUUUCCACCUCUUGGAUUAUAAAUCAGGUGAAGCAAUAAAAGGACAGCUGAAAAUUAAGGGAGGAGUCGAGACUAUGUGCUAUGAGAGACUUUCUUAAGGGAGCUUUUUAAGUCUUGUGUAUACCUCGGUAGAGUUGUUGAUCUGGUCGUUUACUUCUGAUGCAGGUUCAUUACCUGAGUGGACCGAUCAGAGUCCUGGAUACAGAUGGAAUUCCUGCGAAGCCGGGUGAUCUUCUCGCUGUCGAGAUAUGCAACCUGGGUCCUCUACCAGGUGAUGAGUGGGGUUUCACAGCAACAUUCGACAGAGAAAAUGGAGGCGGAUUUCUGACAGAUCAUUUCCCAAGUGCAACCAAAGCUAUAUGGUAUUUUGAAGGAAUCUAUGCAUACUCACCGCAAAUACCGGGUAUAUCCUAAUUCUACAUGCUUUAUAUCUUUCAAACCUAAUGCCCGAUGCGUAGUAGUAUGCUGAAUAUAUCAUUGGUUUGCCUGGGGAAUGACAAUUUCCUGCAUGAAUCUUAGGUGUGAGGUUUCCAGGUUUGACUCACCCUGGAAUAGUAGGAACUGCACCAUCUAAGGAGCUCCUAAAAAUAUGGAACGACAGGGAAAGGGAGGUUGAAGAAAAUGGACUGCAGACACUCAAGCUAUGCGAGGUUUUGCAUUCAAGGCCACUAGCAAACUUACCAUCAACCAAAGGCUGUGUCCUUGGCAAGGUACGAUGUAAUUAACCGACUCAUAGCAAUUGACGCAAGCAAUACAAAGCCAUUCAUAUUAAAGCAUGCAUAGGGUAAUCUAAUCUGCAAAAAAGUCAUUUACUAACUGCUUAAACUGAAUAUCGGUCCUGAUAUCAACCAUCCUUUAGAUUCAAGGAGACACUCCCGAAUGGGAAAGGAUCGCGAGGGAAGCUGCCAGAACAAUUCCGGGAAGAGAGAACGGGGGAAACUGCGACAUCAAAAAUCUAAGUAGAGGUUCAAAGGUUUAUCUCCCUGUUUUUGUGGAAGGAGCAAACCUCAGCACUGGCGAUAUGCACUUCUCUCAGGGUGAUGGUGAGGUCUCCUUCUGUGGGGCAAUCGAGAUGAGUGGCUUCUUAGAGCUCAAGUACGGUUCAUUUCUCAUCUCCUCACAUUACAUGAAAUUAUAGUUCAAUCGGAGCAGUGACUAUUGACUUAAAAGUGUAAAAUAGCACCCCUAGCAAUGGUCAAGAAGAAAAUUCAUGAAUUAACUGAGAAGUAACGAAGUAAUCUUUAACGGUGAAACAGUAGAAACUUCACUUACUUCUAAAAAUACUUGUGUUAGUCACAUGGAAAUUUAAGACAUCAGCCAAAAAACUCUUAUAGCUUCGGUAGUAAAUGCUCAAUAUCCAAACAUAAUGCUCAUGGCAAGGACUGAUGUCUGCAGGCUCAUGAUUUACAGAGCAUCUAUAAUCUUCAUCCUUUUUAUCCCAAGUUUGACUAACCUUUUUCUUUCUAAAUUCACUCUCACUCAUCAUGCAACAUAUUAGUCUUCCUUACUUUGGGUGCUAAACGACAUUGUUGGCUUCAUCUUCAAUUAGAUGUGAAAUCAUCAGGGGAGGGAUGAAAGAGUACCUGACACCAAUGGGACCAACUCUUCUCCACGUGAACCCAAUCUUCGAG